GGCACUUUGGCCGAGUGGUCUAAGGCGCCGUGUUCAGGUGGUCCUUCACGCAUUGUGAUAGCAUCUAUUCGCGGUCUAGUAAUAGGCGAGGGUUCGAAUCCCUCAGGUGUCA